rnacentral:tRNA from 1 species
GCCGGUGUGGCGGAAUUGGUAGACGCGGUGGAUUCAAAAUCCAUUUCUCGCAAGAGAGUGGGGGUUCGAGCCCCUCCACCGGUACAA